rnacentral:rRNA from 1 species
AUUGAACGCUGGCGGCAUGCCUUACACAUGCAAGUCGAACGGCGGCGGGGGAGAAGCUUGCUUUUCCUGCCGGCGAGUGGCGAACGGGUGAGUAAUACAUCGGAACGUGCCCUGUAGUGGGGGAUAACUAGUCGAAAGAUUAGCUAAUACCGCAUACGACCUGAGGGUGAAAGUGGGGGACAGCAAGGCCUCAUGCUAUAGGCGCGGCCUAUGUCUGAUUAGCUAGUUGGUGGGGUAAAGGCCUACCAAGGCGACGAUCAGUAGCUGGUCUGAGAGGACGAUCAGCCACACUGGGACUGAGACACGGCCCAGACUCCUACGGGAGGCAGCAGUGGGGAAUUUUGGACAAUGGGCGAAAGCCUGAUCCAGCAAUGCCGCGUGUGUGAAGAAGGCCUUCGGGUUGUAAAGCACUUUUGUCCGGAAAGAAAUGGCUCUGGUUAAUACCUGGGGUCGAUGACGGUACCGGAAGAAUAAGGACCGGCUAACUACGUGCCAGCCGCCGCAGUAA